rnacentral:lncRNA from 1 species
UGGGAGUGGGGAACUUAGGGCUUGAUAUAAAAGAGAGAAUGGGUAGCCAUUGAGAGGGUUCAUUUGGAAGCUGGUUAUAAUGAGAAUUAGAGAUGUAAAGGAAAAGAUAUUAGGAACUAAUUUUGUUUUUUAUUAUUUUUGGAAUUUUUUUUAUUUAUUUCUAGUCUUGAAUUGUUUUAAAAGCACAUUUGAACCAUUUUGUUUAAUUAGAUUAAUGCAAUUUCCGAUUUGAUUUAAAUAUUUAAAUGUUCAAUUCCCU